GUUGAAACACCAGUUCCCAUACAAACACUGAGAUUAAGCAACAUUGCACCUGGUCAGUACCUAGAUGGGUGACCGUUUGGGAAUAACAGGUGUUGUAAG